AGUGAACGCUGGCGGUAGGCCUAACACAUGCAAGUCGAACGGCAGCACAGUAAGAGCUUGCUCUUACGGGUGGCGAGUGGCGGACGGGUGAGGAAUACAUCGGAAUCUACUUUUUCGUGGGGGAUAACGUAGGGAAACUUACGCUAAUACCGCAUACGACCUACGGGUGAAAGCAGGGGAUCUUCGGACCUUGCGCGAUUGAAUGAGCCGAUGUCGGAUUAGCUAGUUGGCGGGGUAAAGGCCCACCAAGGCGACGAUCCGUAGCUGGUCUGAGAGGAUGAUCGGCCACACUAGAACUGAGACACGGUCCAGACUCCUACGGGAGGCAGCAGUGGGGAAUAUUGGACAAUGGGCGCAAGCCUGAUCCAGCCAUACUGCGUGUGUGAAGAAGGCCUUCGGGUUGUAAAGCCCUUUUGUUGGGAAAGAAAAGCAGCAGGUUAAUACCCCGCUGUUCUGACGGUACCCAAAGAAUAAGCACCGGCUAACUUCGUG
rnacentral:rRNA from 1 species